UACGUAGGGGGCAAGCGUUGUCCGGAAUCAUUGGGCGUAAAGCGCGUGUAGGCGGCUCGAUAAGUCUGCUGUGAAAGUCCAGGCUCAACCCUGGGAUGCCGGUGGAUACUGUCGAGCUCGAGUCCGGAAGAGGCGAGUGGAAUUCCUGGUGUAGCGGUGAAAUGCGCAGAUAUCAGGAAGAACACCUAUGGCGAAGGCAGCUCUCUGGGACGGUACUGACGCUGAGACGCGAAGCGUGGGAGCGAACAGGAUUAAGAUACCCGUGGUAAGUCCGAGACCCAAGUCCUCGUGCCUACCGAUAA
rnacentral:rRNA from 1 species